AUGAACGCUGGCGGCGUGCCUAAUCCAUGCAAGUCGAGCGAACGGACGAGAAGCUUGCUUCUCUGAUGUUAGCGGCGGACGGGUGAGUAACACGUGGAUAACCUACCUAUAAGACUGGGAUAACUUCGGGAAACCGGAGCUAAUACCGGAUAAUAUUUUGAACCGCAUGGUUCAAAAGUGAAAGACGGUCUUGCUGUCACUUAUAGAUGGAUCCGCGCUGCAUUAGCUAGUUGGUAAGGUAACGGCUUACCAAGGCAACGAUGCAUAGCCGACCUGAGAGGGUGAUCGGCCACACUGGAACUGAGACACGGUCCAGACUCCUACGGGAGGCAGCAGUAGGGAAUCUUCCGCAAUGUGCGAAAGCCUGACGGAGCAACGCCGCGUGAGUGAUGAAGGUCUUCGGAUCGUAAAACUCUGUUAUUAGGGAAGAACAUAUGUGUAAGUAACUGUGCACAUCUUGACGGUACCUAAUCAGAAAGCCACGGCUAACUACGUG
rnacentral:rRNA from 1 species